rnacentral:rRNA from 1 species
UGGGGAAUAUUGCGCAAUGGGCGAAAGCCUGACGCAGCGACGCCGCGUGUGGGAUGAAGGUCUUCGGAUUGUAAACCACUGUCGGGAGGGACGAAUGCGCCGCAAGGCGAGUGACGGUACCUCCAAAGGAAGCACCGGCUAACUCUGUGCCAGCAGCCGCGGUAAUACAGAGGGUGCGAGCGUUGUCCGGAAUCACUGGGCGUAAAGGGCGCGUAGGCGGCUUGAUAAGUAGGGGGUGAAAUCUUGCGGCUCAACUGCAAGGCUGCCUCCUAAACUGUCAGGCUUGAGCACAGUAGAGGCAGGUGGAAUUCCCGGUGUAGCGGUGGAAUGCGUAGAGAUCGGGAAGAACAUCGGUGGCGAAGGCGGCCUGCUGGGCUGUUGCUGACGCUGAGGCGCGACAGCGUGGGGAGCAAACAGGAUUAGAUACCCUGGUAGUCCACGCCGUAAACGAUGGGUACUAGGCGUCGGGGGGAGCGACCCCUUCGGUCG